GAUGAAGAACGCAGCGAAAUGCGAUAAGUAAUGUGAAUUGCAGAAUUCAAUGAAUCAUCGAAUCUUUGAACGCACAUUGCGCCCGCGAGUAUUCUCGCGGGCAUGCCUGUCCGAGCGUCAUUUCAACCCUCAGGGCCCGCCUGCUUCGGCAGGCGCGGCGCUGGUGUUGGGGAUCGGCCUAACCGCCGUCCCCCAAAUACAGUGGCGGUCUCGCUGCAGCCUCCCCUGCGUAGUAGCAACACUCGCAUGCGGAGCGCGGCGCGGCCACGCCGUAAAACCCCCGACUUUCUGAACGUUGACCUCGGAUCAGGUAGGAAUACCCGCUGAACUUAAGCAUAUCAAUAAGCGGAGGA
rnacentral:misc_RNA from 1 species